rnacentral:rRNA from 1 species
CGGGACGGGUGAGUAAUGUCUGGGAAACUGCCUGAUGGAGGGGGAUAACUACUGGAAACGGUAGCUAAUACCGCAUAACGUCGCAAGACCAAAGAGGGGGACCUUAGGGCCUCUUGCCAUCGGAUGUGCCCAGAUGGGAUUAGCUUGCUGGUGGGGUAACGGCUCACCAAGGCGACGAUCCCUAGCUGGUCUGAGAGGAUGACCAGCCACACUGGAACUGAGACACGGUCCAG